rnacentral:lncRNA from 1 species
CUCUGUGCUGCCUGCCUCACUGGAUCCGCUACAAUUUGCAUAUCAUAGCAACUGUUCUACAGACGAUGCUACUGCUUUCACCCUACACACUGCUCUCUCCCACCUGGAAAAUAAGAACACCUAUGUGAGAAUGCUGUUUGUGGACUACAGCUCAGCAUUUAACACCAUAGUGCCUGCCACACUUGUUGCAAAGACAAAGCUCCAGACUCUGGGACUAAACAGAUUUCUGUGCAGCUGAAUCCUGGACUUCCUGACAGGCAGAAGUCCGGUGGUAAGAAUGGGCAACAAUACUUCAUCCCCGCUGACCCUCAACACUGGUGCUCCUCAGGGCUGUGUCCUCAGCCCACUCCUGUACUCCCUGUACACGCAUGACUGUGCAGCCACACACAGCUCCAACGUCAUUGUCAAAUUCGCUGACGACACAACGAUGGGACGGCCUACAGAGAGGUGUACAAUCAGUGUACAAACCCUAAUGCAUCAAAAUGAGAAGAAACACAUGCUAUCCUAGAUAAAUAUCCACUAUGUGCAAUAAUGACCUUUAGUCUCAUUAUUGUCAAACAUUAAUAAGACCAAUAAAUGCAACAAAUAAGUGCAUAUAUGGACAUGUAUAUCUCUCAGUUACUUUCAUUGGUAAUGUUUACAUUGUACUGUUUAUUGUUGCAAUCUGAUAUUUGAACUUGUUAUAUUUCAGGAUAUCAUGGGAUGCCUCUUUCGAAGGGAGGAGGUGUGUCUGGUCUAGCUCUUCAGUUUGAUGGAUACACUACUGUUCAGAAGCUUUGGGGGUUUGGAGGAGAGAGAUGGAAUACUUCAAGGGGUAGGAAAGCAGGAUAGUGGAUGCCACAGUGGAAGAUACGUGUGCAGAAGUGUAAAGCUGUGCAGAUGGUCCUUAACCUUUGUAGCCCUUCAGUUACAGACAAGUGUCUCAUCGCAGAUGCCUGAACUUCCCCUGCUGCAGAGCGCUCUGAUAGAAGGAAUGAUUAGAUAAGACUAUUUAAUAAACUGUUUCACAAAAAAAAUGUCACGUCAAGUGUGAUUUUCAAGUAUUGAAGUAUAGAGGGUGAGGGCUAGAAAUGCAAGAAGUUUCUUCUUUUCUCAUUUAGCUACAGCAGGAUUCGGAGAAGUGAAUUUUGCAAUGGAGUAUUGUUUUUUUUGUCCUUUCUGUUUUUUAGAGAAAGAGUGGUAGCAGUGUGGACUACCUGCACCCACAUCUCCCCUUCAACACUCUUUAGCACCAACAUAUUCACUUCCAGCUUCCAGAACAUUGUGGAUGCUUAUGGUGUGGCAUGUUACAGAGAGGUUAAUCCAGGUAACUCUCACACACAGUCACAUAGAACCAGAUGCAAGUCAUUCUAGUUAAAGUUGAGAUAAACAACCUAUAGGAAGAUCCGAAUUCCCAUUGACAAAAGUAAAAAAAAAAAGUAAAAAAGGUUUUAGUUAGAAUAUAUUUAAUAUUAGACAGUAAAAAAAAAGAAAAAAAAAAAGGGUUUUAAGUUUAGUAAUAUAUUUUAUAAUAAAUUAUUUAUGUGAUGGCAAAGCUGCCUUUUCAGCAGUCAUUACUCCAGUCUUCAGUGUCACAUGAUCCUUCAGAAAUUAUUGUAAUAUGCUGAUUUGCUGCUCCAGAAACAUUUCUUAUCAUCAGUAUUGAAAACAGCUGGGAUGCUUUUUUUCCGUUCACUGAUGAAUAUAAAGUUCAAAAGAACAGCAUUUAUUUGAAAUAUAAAUCUUUUGUAACAUUAUGUCUUUAAAGGUCUUACAAAUACUUUUACUUUUGAUCAGUGUUAUGCAUUCUUGCUGAAUAAAAUAUUAAUUUCUUAAAGAAAUAAUAAUCACCCAACCUUUUGUACAGUAUCAUAUAUAUCUGCUUUCUUCGCAUCCAUCACUUCUAGAAUGCUCUUUAGGUUUGUACAGCAUUCGUUUAUUAGUUUUUUUCUGUGUGUGUGUCUUUUAGAUUUGGCAUAUGCUGUUUGGUGGGAGAUAUCUGGUGGAUGCUUAUGGUGUGGCAUGUUACAGAGAGGUUAAUCCAGGUAACUCUCACACACAGUCACAUAGAACCAGAUGCAAGUCAUUCUAGUUAAAGUUUGAGAUAAACAACCUAUGGAAGAUCCGAAUUCCCAUUGCAGUAAAAAAAAAAGAAAAAAAAAGGGUUUUGUUUGAAUAUAUUUUAUAAUAAAAUUUAUUUAUGUGAUGGCAAAGCUGCCUUUUCAGCAGUCAUUACUCCAGUCUUCAGUGUCACAUGAUCCUUCAGAAAUUAUUGUAAUAUGCUGAUUUGCUGCUCCAGAAACAUUUCUUAUCAUCAGUAUUGAAAACAGCUGGGAUGCUUUUUUUCCGUCACUGAUGAAUAUAAAGUUCAAAAGACAGCAUUUAUUUGAAAUAUAAAUCUU